rnacentral:misc_RNA from 1 species
AGAUACUAAUCCAUCUGCCAGGAAAGUGAAGAUAAACUAUGUCAAGAAACAAAAGGGAAAAUGGCACUGAAUCAAAAGGGAGGAAGAAAGCAGAUAACUAGUCAUUCAUGAAGAAACUAAAGAUAAUAUUAGAUGACACAGGACAUAUGCGUACAAACAUAUGUACUAUUAAAUACUAUAUACAUAUGUAAGUGUCUGAAAGAGAAGAGAAUAAAAAUAAUGGUAUCAUAACAAGUAUAGGGAAAGUGAAUUCAGCUUAAGAGCACAAGCUGACCUGUAUUGAGAAGGGUACCAUCUA